rnacentral:rRNA from 1 species
AUUGAACGCUGGCGGCAUGCCUUACACAUGCAAGUCGAACGGCAGCACGGGUGCUUGCACCUGGUGGCGAGUGGCGAACGGGUGAGUAAUACAUCGGAACGUACCUUAUCGUGGGGGAUAACGCAGCGAAAGCUGUGCUAAUACCGCAUACGCCUUGAGGGGGAAAGCGGGGGAUCGAAAGACCUGCGGCGAUUAAAGGGGCCGAUGCCUGAUUAGCUUGUUGGUGGGGUAAAAGCCCACCAAGGCGACGAUCAGUAGCUGGUCUGAGAGGACGAUCAGCCACACUGGGACUGAGACACGGCCCAGACUCCUACGGGAGGCAGCAGUGGGGAAUUUUGGACAAUGGGGGCAACCCUGAUCCAGCAAUGCCGCGUGAGUGAAGAAGGCCUUCGGGUUGUAAAGCUCUUUUGUCAGGGAAGAAACACCGGCUCUAACACAGUCCGGGAAUGACGGUACCUGAAGAAUAAGCACCGGCUAACUACGUGCCAGCAGCCGCCGUAA